rnacentral:lncRNA from 1 species
GAUAUGGGAAGAAAAUUAAGGGCCAAAUGACACUAUAAGUAUAGGAGAGCACUAUAUAUAUGUUUUGGACCAUCAAAUGCUUGUAAGUGAUGUGAAAGGCAUUCCAUCAUUCCCUGUAUUUUACUAGCAGUGGAUCCUAUUAGUUGAUGGCAUACUUUGCUCUCAACCAAUCCCUAUGGGCUAUGGCAAUGCAGGCUUCAGUUUGGUAGUUAAAUAUUUUUUUUUGAAACAUAAGGUAGUUAAAUA